rnacentral:rRNA from 1 species
UAUAGAGGGUGCGAGCGUUGUCCGGAAUCACUGGGCGUAAAGGGCGCGUAGGUGGUCGGGUAAGCGUGUGGUGAAAGCCCGGGGCUCAACCCCGGGUCGGCCGUGCGGACUGCCGACUGGAGCACGGUAGAGGCCAAUGGAAUUCCGGGUGUAGCGGUGGAAUGCGUAGAGAUCCGGAAGAACACCGGUGGCGAAGGCGGUUGGCUGGGCCGUGGCUGACACUGAGGCGCGACAGCGUGGGGAGCAAACAGG